UAUCCUUUGUUUCCGGCAAAAAGAUUAUCCUCAGCCGGAGCAUAUUGAUGA
rnacentral:sRNA from 1 species